rnacentral:rRNA from 1 species
UACGUAGGGUGCAAGCGUUGUCCGGAUUUAUUGGGCGUAAAGAGCUCGUAGGCGGUUAGUCACGUCGGAUGUGAAAACCCGGAGCUUAACUCCGGGCCUGCAUUCGAUACGGGCUGACUAGAGUGUUGUAGGGGAGACUGGAACUCCUGGUGUAGCGGUGAAAUGCGCAGAUAUCAGGAAGAACACCGGUGGCGAAGGCGGGUCUCUGGGCAACUACUGACGCUGAGAAGCGAAAGCGUGGGGAGCGAACAGG